GCAGCCGUUUCUGCGGAUCGUGCGGCCGCGGAGUUCCGGCGGUGCCGGCCCCGUUUCUGGGGGGCGGCCGCGAUCCUGGGCCGGAGCUCUCUGCCCGGCUCCCGCAAGCGUCCCGGUCCCCGGGGCUUCUUGCUGCGGCUCGGGUUGAUGAGGGGAGCGCGGAGCCCGUGCCGGCUCCCAGCUGCUCGGGAGCGCGUCAGCUGCGCUUCGUCCUUCCCGGGAGGCCCUCGGCAGCCGCGUGCGGAUAUGCUCCUCGCGGGGGAAACUGCUGUGAGGGGUGCGUUUCAAGAAGUAAGAAUGCAGCACCGCUCAUGUGGUUCAAGGUGAAGCUCAGCCGUAAGCAGCAAGCAUGUGAAAUGGCGUGCAGCACGAAGGUGAGCUGCCCAGGCCCAUUUCCAGCUGUGAACAGCCCGGCUUUUGAACUGCAAAUGUGUGGGAUGCCUUAGCUUGUAGUCAUGUGGGCGCAGAGGAGCUUCACACACAUCAGCAUGUUUCCUAAGUGUAAUUCUAGGUACCAAUUUGACAAGUGAGCACCUAAAAAUCACAGAUGCUACAGUCUCAGUAAUUUCAGGAGGAUGUAAAUACUGCCAGGUAUGUUUAAGUGCUUUCACGAGGUGGAGCUUAAAUAGUGUAUAGAAUCCAUAAACCAAAAGCCACAUGUAGCCUUAUGUGAACGCAGAGGAAGGCAGAUUUGCAGCCUCCUGAAUAGAAACCGUUGGCUGUAUUUCCUUUGCUCAUUUUUUUCCCUUCUCACUUCCUCUGUCAGCACCAUUUCUAUUAAUGAUAUCUAUCUUCUAAGUGUAUAGACUUUAAACUGCCAACUCACUCUUUGUAGUAGAGGAAAUCCUUGCGUUCCUUACCUGGUGGAUUCACACUGUGCUCUGUGGCCCAUAGCUCCUGUGCAGGCAGCACUAAGGGACAGACCCUGCGUGUGUUCCUCUGUUCCUGCCUGCCCUCCAACAGCUGUCAUUUGCUUCUGCACCCAUUUUUAGAAAGUGACAGGGUCCCGUGUGUCCUGUACGCUGUUUAUUGGCAACUCGACCCUUGCUGCCUGUUCCCAAUAUUAAAGUGCCUACCUUAAAGCUUUAUCGAUUAAAUAGUUUCAAAGUGGUUAAUGAGAAGUUCUGUACAGGUUCUGAGCAACAUCAAAAAUGUCUUCUGAGAUUUAAAGUAUUUUCUCCAAGGCUUUGGGACGGUUGCCAUGUUGUUUGAAACAGUGUGGUAAAACAUUGGCAAUUUAAGUUUCUGAUACAAAGCCCUAAGUAAAUAGAAGGUAUAGCCCUGCAACGAUGAGAUUUUCAUACCAGUUGCGCUGCGAAAUGCUUUCAGGUUGUUUCUUCAUUUGUCACUGUUAUCAUGUAAGAAAUAUCAAUGAAAUCUGAGUCAGCCAAACAAAAAAUAAACUGCUUUAUUGUCUCAAAUAAAUGAGAAGUGCUUUUAGCUAUUGAGUUUCCUGAUGUCUCUUUAAUGAAAUUCUUCUGUUUGGG
rnacentral:lncRNA from 1 species